rnacentral:rRNA from 1 species
GUAGUCCUGGCUGUAAACGAUGUCGACUUGGAGGUUGUGCCCUUGAGGCGUGGCUUCCGGAGCUAACGCGUUAAGUCGACCGCCUGGGGAGUACGGCCGCAAGGUUAAAACUCAAAUGAAUUGACGGGGGCCCGCACAAGCGGUGGAGCAUGUGGUUUAAUUCGAUGCAACGCGAAGAACCUUACCUGGUCUUGACAUCCACGGAAGUUUUCAGAGAUGAGAAUGUGCCUUCGGGAACCGUGAGACAGGUGCUGCAUGGCUGUCGUCAGCUCGUGUUGUGAAAUGUUGGGUUAAGUCCCGCAACGAGCGCAACCCUUAUCCUUUGUUGCCAGCGGUCCGGCCGGGAACUCAAAGGAGACUGCCAGUGAUAAACUGGAGGAAGGUGGGGAUGACGUCAAGUCAUCAUGGCCCUUACGACCAGGGCUACACACGUGCUACAAUGGCGCAUACAAAGAGAAGCGACCUCGCGAGAGCAAGCGGACCUCAUAAAGUGCGUCGUAGUCCGGAUUGGAGUCUGCAACUCGACUCCAUGAAGUCGGAAUCGCUAGUAAUCGUGGAUCAGAAUGCCACGGUGAAUACGUUCCCGGGCCUUGUACACACCGCCUGUCACACCAUGGGAGUGGGUUGCAAAAGAAGUAGGUAGCUUAACCUUCGGGAGGGCGCUUACCACUUUGUGAUUCAUGACUGGGGUGAAGUCGUAACAAGGUAACCGUAGGGGAACCUGCGGCUGGAUCACCUCC